rnacentral:rRNA from 1 species
UACGAAGGGGGCUAGCGUUAUCCGGAAUUAUUGGGCGUAAAGGGUGCGUAGGCGGUCCUACAAGUCAGAGGUGAAAGGCUACGGCUCAACCGUAGUAAGCCUUUGAAACUGUAGGACUUGAGUGCAGGAGAGGAGAGUGGAAUUCCCAGUGUAGCGGUGAAAUGCGUAGAUAUUGGGAGGAACACCAGUUGCGAAGGCGGCUCUCUGGACUGUAACUGACGCUGAGGCACGAAAGCGUGGGGAGCGAACAGG